rnacentral:rRNA from 1 species
CCCUUAGAUGUCCUGGGCCGCACGCGUGCUACACUGACGCCUACAGCGAGUACUUCCCAGCCCCGAGAGGCGGCUGGUAAUCAGCAAUAGGCGUCGUGAUGGGGAUAGAUCUUUGGAAUUAUGGAUCUUGAACGAGGAAUGCCUAGUAAGCGCAGGUCAUUAGCCUGCGCUGAUUACGUCCCUGCCCUUUGUACACACCGCCCGUCGCACCUACCGAUUGAAUGGUCCGGUGAAGCCUCCGGAUUGGCGCGCACCUCGGUGCCGCCGAGAAGUUGGCUAAACCUUACCAUUUAGAGGAAGGUGAAGUCGUAACA